UUUUGAUUGAAGACACCGUGUGAUGGGAUUAUGUCACACGUUACCCAACGCAAGAUUUCGUGAGGUAUAUUCAAUCAAGAUGGCCACAACAGCGUCUGCGCAAGCAAAUGGAUGAGAUGAGUGACAACAGAGUCACUUCUCCCUCUGUGUUUGUGUUGAAGUCUCAGAAGGAAAACCCUCUUGUGGCUUGUUUGGUGAAAGAUUUCUACCCAAACAAUCUUGAGAUCUAUAUGAAUUCCACAAAAAACAGUUUUAGUCAUGACAAGGUCUCCACAAAACUGUCACCACAGGGAAAAUACAGUGCUGCGCUUGUGGCCAACUUGGGGACAAAUAAUGUGCAGUGUCAAGCCAAGCACCAAGACACUUGGGUGACAAACAUGGAGACCACUUCAAAACUGAAAGUCCUGAAUAAUCAGCCUAAAGGAAGAGAUGGACGAGAUUCCAUAAAAUGUCAACAUCAGCAAACUUCUGAAAUAAGUAACACCCUCUCCUUAAAUAUAAUUGGAAUCAGAGUGCUGGUCACCAAGGCGAUUGUCUUCAACACUAUUAUGACUGCUAAGUUCCUGGGAAUAUGAGAUUGUAUUAAGAAGAACAUUUAUUCCUGAGACCAUUUAUUUAAUCGGUUUCUUUCACAAUUAUCUUUGUAAUGUUAACUAUCUAUCUCUCAUAUCUAUAUCUAUCUAUCUAUUGUUCUGUAUCUCUGUUGAUCUAUUUAUCGCUCUAUUUACACUGAAUCUUUUUAUUUUCUUUAUUCAAUUGCAAACUCAU